AUGAACGCUAGCUACAGGCUUAACACAUGCAAGUCGAGGGGCAUCAGGAAGAAAGCUUGCUUUCUUUGCUGGCGACCGGCGCACGGGUGAGUAACACGUAUCCAACCUGCCCUUUACUCGGGGAUAGCCUUUCGAAAGAAAGAUUAAUACCCGAUAGCAUAAUGAUUCCGCAUGGUUUCAUUAUUAAAGGAUUCCGGUAAAGGAUGGGGAUGCGUUCCAUUAGGUUGUUGGUGAGGUAACGGCUCACCAAGCCUUCGAUGGAUAGGGGUUCUGAGAGGAAGGUCCCCCACAUUGGAACUGAGACACGGUCCAAACUCCUACGGGAGGCAGCAGUGAGGAAUAUUGGUCAAUGGGCGCUAGCCUGAACCAGCCAAGUAGCGUGAAGGAUGAAGGCUCUAUGGGUCGUAAACUUCUUUUAUAUAAGAAUAAAGUGCAGUAUGUAUACUGUUUUGUAUGUAUUAUAUGAAUAAGGAUCGGCUAACUCCGUGCCAGCAGCCGCGGUAAUACGGAGGAUCCGAGCGUUAUCCGGAUUUAUUGGGUUUAAAGGGAGCGUAGGUGGACUGGUAAGUCAGUUGUGAAAGUUUGCGGCUCAACCGUAAAAUUGCAGUUGAUACUGUCAGUCUUGAGUACAGUAGAGGUGGGCGGAAUUCGUGGUGUAGCGGUGAAAUGCUUAGAUAUCACGAAGAACUCCGAUUGCGAAGGCAGCUCACUGGACUGCAACUGACACUGAUGCUCGAAAGUGUGGGUAUCAAACAGGAUUAGAUACCCUGGUAGUCCACACAGUAAACGAUGAAUACUCGCUGUUUGCGAUAUACAGUAAGCGGCCAAGCGAAAGCAUUAAGUAUUCCACCUGGGGAGUACGCCGGCAACGGUGAAACUCAAAGGAAUUGACGGGGGCCCGCACAAGCGGAGGAACAUGUGGUUUAAUUCGAUGAUACGCGAGGAACCUUACCCGGGCUUAAAUUGCAGUGGAAUGAUGUGGAAACAUGUCAGUGAGCAAUCACCGCUGUGAAGGUGCUGCAUGGUUGUCGUCAGCUCGUGCCGUGAGGUGUCGGCUUAAGUGUCAUAACGAGCGCAACCCUUAUCUUUAGUUACUAACAGGUUAUGCUGAGGACUCUAGAGAGACUGCCGUCGUAAGAUGUGAGGAAGGUGGGGAUGACGUCAAAUCAGCACGGCCCUUACGUCCGGGGCUACACACGUGUUACAAUGGGGGGUACAGAAGGCAGCUAGCGGGUGACCGUAUGCUAAUCCCAAAAGCCUCUCUCAGUUCGGAUCGAAGUCUGCAACCCGACUUCGUGAAGCUGGAUUCGCUAGUAAUCGCGCAUCAGCCACGGCGCGGUGAAUACGUUCCCGGGCCUUGUACACACCGCCCGUCAAGCCAUGGGAGCCGGGGGUACCUGAAGUACGUAACCGCAAGGAUCGUCCUAGGGUAAAACUGGUGACUGGGGCU
rnacentral:rRNA from 1 species